AAAUACCUGUUAGCGGUAGUCACACGAGUUUAAAUGCAACGAAAUAACUAAUCUGUGUUUAAAGAGCGUAGGUACAAGUUUGCAAUAUCAGUUUAAUUCGAAAUCUCGCAGCGCGUAGUUAAAACGACCUCUUCCUCUCUCUUUCUCUGUACGUACGGCUGGUAUUUAAAAAACAAAUACAAAAUACAAAAAUUUAAAUAAAUAAAAAACGCAGAAGAAUGAAAUCCUCACUGUUGGGCUCAGUUUUGAUAAUCAUUGUCACAAUUACAAUAAGCUUGGUUAAUGGACAAUCUGGUUCAAAUUAUUUUUAUAAAAAUCGUAAUGGAAAUUCAAAUAAUGAUGAAGAUAAUAACGAAGGCGGAGGAGAUGGAAAUACAAAUAUAAAACUACUGGAAGAAAAUAAUUCGAUACCACUCGAGUAUUUGGAACAGCUAGACAAUGUUGAAAAUAUGAACGAUUUCUUUACAAGAUUCGUUGCAGAUGAUAGUACAGAUCCAAAACUUGGCAUACAACAUAAGAUUGGUAAUUCAAAUGUAGAAAGAGCUGCAUCAAAUAUAGCUAAAGCUGCAGGUUGUAUUCCUGAUAGUACUGUUGUGCCUUUGGAACCAUUAAAUCCAUCAAAUGAUCCUACAGUUAUAUAUUUUCCCAAAUGUACUCGAGUAAAACGUUGUAACGGAUGUUGUUCAUCGCCUUUACUUUCAUGUCAACCCGUUGAAGUAGAAACAAUUGACUUUACGAUAUUUAAAUUACAAUAUACGGGAAAAAGUCGAAUGCCACUCAAAGAGCAAGAACAUGUUUUAGUUGAGCAACAUAAAAAAUGUAAAUGUGAUUGUCGUAUUAAAAAAGAGGAUUGUAACUCAUAUCAGGUAUAUGAUGCUGCACAAUGUAAAUGCAAUUGCACAAAUUACAACGCCAGAGAUAAAUGUUUAUUGGAGGAAGACAAAAUUUGGGAUUAUGAAACUUGCAAAUGUAGAUGUCGGGAAAAUCAACAAUGUACAACAGGUACAUACUUUGAUGAUCACCUUUGCAAAUGUACUGAGAUAGACAAUUUAGAACUUUUUUAAUUCAUCAACACACACAUCCACCUAUACACAAAUAACAUCUGCCUUAUUUGUAUAAAUUUAAGAAAAAAAUGAAAAAAAAAACAAACAAAAAAGUAAAACAGUCUAUUUUUUUAGUGUGUAAUACUCUAGUGUGUAAUAAAAAGAAAUACUAUUUUGUGUCACUGGAGGUAGUUCCUCCAAAGCGUUCUUCGACCGGAAGCGAUUUAUUGUUAAAGCAGUACCAGUGGACCCAAGCAAUACAACAAUAUAUGAUACUGAUGGAAAAUAAAAAAACAAAUAUAACAAAAUUAAUAUAAAUACAAAUAAAAUUUAGUGCAGCUUUCGAAAUACGUUUAAAUAAAUUAAAUUUAAAAUAAACUAAUAUCAACAUUUUAGAAAUAGGAAAUUGUGUAAAUAAGUGUUAAUAAAAUUAUAUAUGUAUCAUCACAGUCUCAAAUUAAAA